AUUGAACGCGGGCGGCAGGCUUAACACAUGCAAGUCGAGAGAGCGGCGGACGGGUGAGUAUUGUCUGGGAAACUGCCUGAUGGAGGGGGAUCACUACUGGAAACGGUAGCUAAUACCGCAUACCAUCAGAUGUGCCCAGAUGGGAUUCGCUAGUAGGUGGGGUAAUGGCUCACCUAGACUACGAUCCCCAGCGGGUCUGAGAGGAUGACCAGCAAGACUGGCACUGAGACACGGUCCAGACUCCUACGGGAGGCAGCAGUGGGGAAUAUCGCACAAUGGGCGCAAGCCUGAUGCAGCGAUGCCGCGUGUGUGAAGAAGGCCUUCGGGUUGUAAAGCACUUUCAGCGAGGAGGCGUUACUCGCAGAAGAAGCACCGGCUAACUCCGUGCCAGCAGCCGCGGUAAUAC
rnacentral:rRNA from 1 species